rnacentral:rRNA from 1 species
AAUAGAUACCCAGGUAGUCCACGCCGUAAACGAUGAGUGCUAAGUGUUAGGGGGUUUCCGCCCCUUAGUGCUGCAGCUAACGCAUUAAGCACUCCGCCUGGGGAGUACGGUCGCAAGACUGAAACUCAAAGGAAUUGACGGGGGCCCGCACAAGCGGUGGAGCAUGUGGUUUAAUUCGAAGCAACGCGAAGAACCUUACCAGGUCUUGACAUCCCAUUGACCACUAUGGAGACAUAGUUUUCCCUUCGGGGACAACGGUGACAGGUGGUGCAUGGUUGUCGUCAGCUCGUGUCGUGAGAUGUUGGGUUAAGUCCCGCAACGAGCGCAACCCUUGCUCUUAGUUGCCAUCAUUUAGUUGGGCACUCUAAGGAGACUGCCGGUGACAAACCGGAGGAAGGUGGGGAUGACGUCAAAUCAUCAUGUCCCUUAUGACCUGGGCUACACACGUGCUACAAUGGACGGUACAAACGGUUGCCAACCCGCGAGGGGAGCUAAUCCGAUAAAACCGUUCUCAGUUCGGAUUGUAGGCUGCAACUCGCCUAC